AGAAAGGAUUUUUUUGGAAGAAGAUUAUGAGAAUGAACAACUGUUAAAACUUCAUAAAGAAUUCUCAACAGAUUGCAGCAGUUAGAAACGCAUCUCUCAUGGAAAGCUUCUCAUUCAAACUGAUUUAUGGCUUUGAAAUGAAUAGUGUUACAUGCUAACGGGUAUCAAGGAAUGUGAUGUAGGUUCAUUGAAUUUGGAAUACUAAUUUUAUUUCAAAUUAUUUAUGGAAACCCGGUAAAAAAUAAAAAAGAGAUGCAGUUUUUAUUUAUGUUGGUUUUUAAAUUCUUUUCAAUUCCAUGUAGUAUACACAUUUAACAUUAAGUUCUCCUUUUUAUUAACUAAAAAUAAUUAUCUAUGUUUGAAUCACAUCAUAUCUUUAAAAUUACAUGCGUUAUAAGCACAUUUAAAAUUUAACUAGAUUUCAAUUGUGUUGUCAAAAUGCGAAAAACUAUAUAAGAAAAUAUAGGUAGAAGCAGUUUUGACCAAUUAUUUUCUUUAAAGUAAAACACAUUCGAUAAUUCUACGUGUCCUUAUCCUAUCUAGCUAAAAUUGACUAGUUGAAGAAUUAAAACUACACAGAAAACUAAAAUGAGUGCAUCAUGCCAAAGGCUUUGGCCGGCAGUAGAGUGUAGAUUUGGGUUUGUAUAUCUAGUGCUAUUUUCUCCAUUAUUAUCAAAGGCAAACUUAAAAGGGAGAGCUCUUACAGGUAUUCAAUAAUGGAACCCAAUAUCACCAUUCUAUUUCAUUAUUGUUGCAAAUUACAAAAAUAUUAAGACUUGAAAAAGGGCUUCAAUCAAGGAGGUUUAUGUUUCCAGCCUACUUUGUGGUUCAGGUAACUCAGCUGGUUAGAGCAAGGGGCUGAAAAUCCUUGUGUUCUUUGAAACUCGUUGAACGAGAAAUAUCUGUUCUUUCCAACAUUUGAUCCUUAAUUGACCUAGGAGUUGUUCCCGGGUAUACUAAAAAAAAAGGUUUUUAUACAUCCCAACCCCAUCCCUUGGAAAGAACAAGCCAGUCCAGUCGUCAG